GUUUCAUGAUAACUAAACGAAUCGCAUGGCCUUGCGCCGGCGAUGGUUCAUUCAAAUUUCUGCCCUAUCAACUUUCGAUUGUAAGAUAGAGGCUUACAAUGGUCUUAACGGGUAACGGGGAAUUAGGGUUCUAUUCCGGAGAGGGAGCCUGAGAAACGGCUACCACAUCCAAGGAAGGCAGCAGGCGCGCAAAUUACCCAAUGCUAAUUCAGCGAGGUAGUGACAAUAAAUACUGAUACGGGGCUCUUUCGGGUCUCGUAAUUGGAAUGAGUACAAUCUAAAUCCCUUAACGAGGAACAAUUGGAGGGCAAGUCUGGUGCCAGCAGCCGCGGUAAUUCCAGCUCCAAUAGCGUAUAUUAAAGUUGUUGCCGUUAAAAAGCUCGUAGUUGAACCUUGGAUCUGGCUGAUCUGUCCUCCUAAUCGAGCGCACGGAUUCGGUCGGAUCUUUCCUUCUGGGGAACCCUAUGCCCUUCACUGGGUGUAGUGGGGAACCAGGACUUUUAC
rnacentral:rRNA from 1 species